rnacentral:rRNA from 1 species
GAUGAACGCUAGCGGCAGGCCUAACACAUGCAAGUCGAGGGGUAGAGGAAGCUUGCUUCCUUGAGACCGGCGCACGGGUGCGUAACGCGUACGCAAUCUACCUUUUACAGAGGGAUAACCCAGAGAAAUUUGGAUUAAUACCUCAUAGUAUAUAUCAUUCGCCUGUUUGAUAUAUGAAAGUUCCAACGGUAAAAGAUGAGCAUGCGUCCCAUUAGUUAGUUGGUAAGGUAACGGUUUACCAAGACGAUGAUGGUUAGGGGUCCUGAGAGGGAGAUCCCCCAAAAUGGUAGUGAGACACGGACCAGACUCCUACGGGAGGCAGCAGUGAGGAAUAUUGGUCAAUGGACGCAAGUCUGAACCAGCCAUGCCGCGUGCAGGAAGACGGUCCUAUGGAUUGUAAACUGCUUUUGUACGGGAAGAAACACUCCUACGUGUAGGAGCCUGACGGUACCGUAAGAAUAAGGAUCGGCUAACUCCGUGCCAGCCGCCGCGGUAAAAC